rnacentral:rRNA from 1 species
UACGUAGGCAGCAAGCGUUGUUCGGAGUUACUGGGCGUAAAGGGUGCGUAGGCGGCCCUGUAAGUAUGGUGUGAAAUCUCCCGGCUUAACUGGGAGGGUGCGCUAUAGACUGCGGGGCUCGAGUGUAGGAGAGGAAAGUGGAAUUCCUGGUGUAGCGGUGAAAUGCGUAGAUAUCAGGAGGAACACCGGUGGUGUAAACGGCUUUCUGGACCAUAACUGACGCUGAGGCACGAAAGCGUGGGUAGCAAACAGG